AGCUAUGGCCAUACCACCCUGAACGCGCCCGAUCUUGUCUGAUCUUGGAAGCUAAGCAGGGUCGGGCCUGGUUACUUGGAUGGGAGACUUUAUUUA
rnacentral:rRNA from 1 species